rnacentral:rRNA from 1 species
GUAGGGAAUAUUGGACAAUGGGCGAAAGCCUGAUCCAGCAACGCCGCGUGAGGGAUGACGGCCUUCGGGUUGUAAACCUCUUUCAGCAGGGACGAAGCGAAAGUGACGGUACCUGCAGAAGAAGGACCGGCCAACUACGUGCCAGCAGCCGCGGUAAUACGUAGGGUCCGAGCGUUGUCCGGAAUUAUUGGGCGUAAAGGGCUCGUAGGCGGUCUGUCGCGUCGGGAGUGAAAACUCAGGGCUCAACCCUGAGCGUGCUUCCGAUACGGGCAGACUAGAGGUAUGCAGGGGAGAACGGAAUUCCUGGUGUAGCGGUGGAAUGCGCAGAUAUCAGGAGGAACACCGGUGGCGAAGGCGGUUCUCUGGGCAUUACCUGACGCUGAGGAGCGAAAGCAUGGGGAGCGAACAGGAUUAGAAACCCGGGUAGUCC